rnacentral:SRP_RNA from 1 species
GCCGGGCAUGGUGGCACGUGCCUGUAAUCCCAGCUACUCAGGAGGCUGAGGCAGGAGAAUCGCUUGAACCUGGGAGGUGGAAGUUGCAGUGAGCCGAGACUGUCACUGCACUCCAGCCUGGGUGACAGAGUGAGACUCUGUCUCAA